rnacentral:rRNA from 1 species
GAUGAACGCUAGCUACAGGCUUAACACAUGCAAGUCGAGGGGAAACGAUAUUGAAAGCUUGCUUCCGAUAGGCGUCGACCGGCGCACGGGUGAGUAACGCGUAUCCAGCCUGCCCAUCACUUGGGGAUAACCUUGCGAAAGUAAGACUAAUACCCAAUGACGUCUCUAGAAGACAUCUGAAAGAGAUUAAAGAUUUAUCGGUGAUGGAUGGGGAUGCGUCUGAUUAGCUUGUUGGCGGGGUAACGGCCCACCAAGGCGACGAUCAGUAGGGGUUCUGAGAGGAAGGUCCCCCACAUUGGAACUGAGACACGGUCCAAACUCCUACGGGAGGCAGCAGUGAGGAAUAUUGGUCAAUGGGCGAGAGCUUGAACCAGCCAAGUAGCGUGCAGGAUGACGGCCCUAUGGGUUGUAAACUGCUUUUAUAAGGGAAUAAAGUGAGCCACGUGUGGCUUUUUGCAUGUACCUUAUGAAUAAGGACCGGCUAAUUCCGUGCCAGCAGCCGCGGUAA